rnacentral:rRNA from 1 species
GACGAACGCUGGCGGCGUGCCUAAUACAUGCAAGUCGAACGAGAGCAGCCGGUGCUUGCCCUGGUCAAUCUAGUGGCGAACGGGUGAGUAACACGUGGGUAACCUGCCCAUCAGAGGGGGAUAACAUCCGGAAACGGAUGCUAACACCGCAUAGGUCUUCGAACCGCAUGGUUUGAAGAGGAAAAGAGGCGCAAGCUUCUGCUGAUGGAUGGACCCGCGGUGCAUUAGCUAGUUGGUGCGGUAACGGCUCACCAAGGCCGUGAUGCAUAGCCGACCUGAGAGGGUGAUCGGCCACAUUGGGACUGAGACACGGCCCAAACUCCUACGGGAGGCAGCAGUAGGGAAUCUUCCGCAAUGGGCGCAAGUCUGACGGAGCAACGCCGCGUGAGUGAAGAAGGUUUUCGGAUCGUAAAACUCUGUUGUUAGAGAAGAACAAGUGCUAGAGUAACUGUUAGCGCCUUGACGGUAGCUAACCAGAAAGCCACGGCUAACUACGUG